AUUGAACGCUGGCGGCAGGCCUAACACAUGCAAGUCGAACGAGUGGCGGACGGGUGAGUAAUGUCUGGGAAACUGCCCGAUGGAGGGGGAUAACUACUGGAAACGGUAGCUAAUACCGCAUACCAUCGGAUGUGCCCAGAUGGGGUUUGCUUGUAGGUGAGGGAACGGCUCACCCAGGCGACGAUCCCUAGCUGGUCUGAGAGGAUGACCAGCGAAACGGGAACUGAGACACGGUCCAGACUCCUACGGGAGGCAGUAGUGGGGAAUAUUGCACAAGGGGCGCAAGCCUGAUGCAGCCAUGCCGCGGGUGUGAAGAAGGCCUUCGGGUUGUAAAGUACUUUCAGCGAGGAGGCGUUACCCGCAGAAGAAGCACCGGCUAACUCCGUGCCAGCAGCCGCGGUAAUUC
rnacentral:rRNA from 1 species